rnacentral:rRNA from 1 species
GUUUGAUCGUGGCUCAGAUUGAACGCUGGCGGCAGGCCUAACACAUGCAAGUCGAACGGUAACAGGAAGCAGCUUGCUGCUUUGCUGACGAGUGGCGGACGGGUGAGUAAUGUCUGGGAAACUGCCCGAUGGAGGGGGAUAACUACUGGAAACGGUAGCUAAUACCGCAUAACGUCGCAAGACCAAAGAGGGGGACCUUAGGGCCUCUUGCCAUCGGAUGUGCCCAGAUGGGAUUAGCUAGUAGGUGGGGUAACGGCUCACCUAGGCGACGAUCCCUAGCUGGUCUGAGAGGAUGACCAGCCACACUGGAACUGAGACACGGUCCAGACUCCUACGGGAGGCAGCAGUGGGGAAUAUUGCACAAUGGGCGCAAGCCUGAUGCAGCCAUGCCGCGUGUAUGAAGAAGGCCUUCGGGUUGUAAAGUACUUUCAGCGGGGAGGAAGGGAGUAAAGUUAAUACCUUUGCUCAUUGACGUUACCCGCAGAAGAAGCACCGGCUAACUCCGUGCCAGCAGCCGCGGUAAUACGGAGGGUGCAAGCGUUAAUCGGAAUUACUGGGCGUAAAGCGCACGCAGGCGGUUUGUUAAGUCAGAUGUGAAAUCCCCGGGCUCAACCUGGGAACUGCAUCUGAUACUGGCAAGCUUGAGUCUCGUAGAGGGGGGUAGAAUUCCAGGUGUAGCGGUGAAAUGCGUAGAGAUCUGGAGGAAUACCGGUGGCGAAGGCGGCCCCCUGGACGAAGACUGACGCUCAGGUGCGAAAGCGUGGGGAGCAAACAGGAUUAGAUACCCUGGUAGUCCACGCCGUAAACGAUGUCGACUUGGAGGUUGUGCCCUUGAGGCGUGGCUUCCGGAGCUAACGCGUUAAGUCGACCGCCUGGGGAGUACGGCCGCAAGGUUAAAACUCAAAUGAAUUGACGGGGGCCCGCACAAGCGGUGGAGCAUGUGGUUUAAUUCGAUGCAACGCGAAGAACCUUACCUGGUCUUGACAUCCACGGAAGUUUUCAGAGAUGAGAAUGUGCCUUCGGGAACCGUGAGACAGGUGCUGCAUGGCUGUCGUCAGCUCGUGUUGUGAAAUGUUGGGUUAAGUCCCGCAACGAGCGCAACCCUUAUCCUUUGUUGCCAGCGGUCCGGCCGGGAACUCAAAGGAGACUGCCAGUGAUAAACUGGAGGAAGGUGGGGAUGACGUCAAGUCAUCAUGGCCCUUACGACCAGGGCUACACACGUGCUACAAUGGCGCAUACAAAGAGAAGCGACCUCGCGAGAGCAAGCGGACCUCAUAAAGUGCGUCGUAGUCCGGAUUGGAGUCUGCAACUCGACUCCAUGAAGUCGGAAUCGCUAGUAAUCGUGGAUCAGAAUGCCACGGUGAAUACGUUCCCGGGCCUUGUACACACCGCCCGUCACACCAUGGGAGUGGGUUGCAAAAGAAGUAGGUAGCUUAACCUUCGGGAGGGCGCUUACCACUUUGUGAUUCAUGACUGGGGUGAAGUCGUAACAAGGUACCC